rnacentral:sRNA from 1 species
GCUGGGUGUGGUGACUCAUGCCUGUGAUCCCAGUGACUCAGGAGGCUGAGGCAGGAGAAUCAUAAAUUCAAGGCCAGUCUCAACCAUUUAGUAAGACCCUGUCUCAA